rnacentral:lncRNA from 1 species
UAUACCAGUGUGCACUACAACAGGUAGUUAUAAGCAAUCUCUUUUUCAGCCAGGGGUAUUUGUCAGACUCCCAUUACUAAUUGUGCCUCAGCAACCCUGUCCUUCUUUAAUCUCCUUGUUGAGUCAUAAACGGUUCCUGCCUUAGGGUUUUUUUUGUGGGAAGGUUCUGAGGCUUGGAGCAAGUUGGAAUGUUUCAAGAAUGGAGCAUGUAAGACCUUGUAGGCCACACUAAAGAGUGUGAAUUUAUUUUUAAACAUGAUGAUAACAUUUAAGGAACAUGAAAAGGGAACAAGGCAAUCCUACUUAUAUAGUAAAAUUUAUGUAAUUCUCCUGCACAAGCCAUAAACACUAGCCUUAUCAUAAACCUGUCCUCCAGGUUGGUUGACCUGUAGAGAUGUUGCACAGUGGCAUUCUGAGACUCCCUAAUGUGAAAUAUCCAU